UACGUAGGUGGCAAGCGUUGUCCGGAUUUAUUGGGUUUAAAGGGUGCGUAGGCGGCUUUGUAAGUCAGUGGUGAAAUACGGUAGCUCAACUAUCGAGGUGCCAUUGAUACUGCGGAGCUUGAGUACAGGUGAGGUAGGCGGAAUUGACGGUGUAGCGGUGAAAUGCUUAGAUAUCGUCAAGAACACCUAUAGCGAAGGCAGCUUACUAGGCUGUAACUGACGCUGAGGCACGAAAGCGUGGGGAGCAAACAGG
rnacentral:rRNA from 1 species